UGAGCGCGGGGCCGGGGCCGCUCCGGAGGGAGGCGGCGCAGGUCGGCCGCCCUUGCCGGGAGAGGCGGCACCUCCGGGCCCGGCGGGAAGUUGCCGAUCGAAGCCUCCGGGCAGCCCCUGCCGCCUACCCCUGCCGCGGGCAGGGGCGGCAGCCGCGGCCCGGCUCCACGGCACCUGGCCCGGGGCAGCCGCGGCGCUGCGGGCGAACGGGCCGAGGUGCGCGGGGGCCGGGGAUGCCCCGCGGCGAGGCCGAGGCAGAGGGCGGCAGAGCGGCCCCGCCGGCGGACACUGCCGUCUCGCCGGACCGGGCCGGGCCGGGCCGGGGCGGCCCCGCCACGGCACAGGAUUUCAGUGAUCUCAGACUGACGGCUCCAGGAUAAGCCCGACCUGUCCCCGUCCCACCCCACCGCACUCCCUGGCCGGCCGGAGGAGUUUGUCCGCAGGGAAAGAAAAAGGCACAGCGCCGGGAACCAUCGGUCAGCACCUCACCCUCGAGUCAGGCCCUCAGCUUUUGUCCGUCUUACCCACUCUAGCAGAUCAGAAAUACCUCAGGAAGAUGGAAGGAUAUCAGUCAAAGAAAAAUUGUUCUUAUCAUUAACCCUAAUAGCUCCAUGGCAGAGACUCAGCAACAGGAGUUUGGCUUUUGGGGCGCAGGCUGUAAUGAAGAGCAUCUCACAAGCAUCUCUGCAGCUGCACAUUGCUCUUGUUGGUAGCACUUGUG